rnacentral:lncRNA from 1 species
UAUCACUAUUAAGUCCACUAGAAACUCUCUUUUGCAAAUGAUAAUAAUGUUGAAUCAUUUUUCAUACAACUGGUUAGCUUUUUUAUUUGAGUGAAUUCUAACAUUUUGUCAUGUUAUGAUUGAGAACUAUUUUCCGUGUGAAAAAAUAACGAUUCUUGUGUCUGAAAUUUAAAGGAAAAUUGACUUUGACAAGUUCCCUUCUUGCUGCACCUGGAACAAACAUACAAGAGGUUGCUGGAGAUGUCCAAAUGAUAGAGGUUUUAAUAAACAAUCUUACACCGAGUAAAAGGCCGCGAGCAGAAGGUAUAGUUUUGAACUCCAAAUCUAUUUAGUUUAAGUUAUUAUCAUUAAGUAAGAGUUGUGCAAUGUUGUGAUUAAUUCACACCACGACAACAUCAAUCAACAGCUGAAAUCGUGAAAUCCUAUACUCGACCUCGACUGCGACCAUUAUUUAACAUUUGUCAUGUUAUGAUUGAGAACUAUUUUCCGUGUGAAAAAUAACGAUUCUUGUGUCUGAAAUUUAAAGGAAAAUUGACUUUGACAAGUUCCUUUCUUGCUGCACCUGGAACAAACAUGCAAGAGGUUGCUGGAGAUGUCCAAAUGACAGAGGUUUUAAAAAACAAUCUUACACCGAGUAAAAGGCCGCGAGCAGAAGGU